UGACGAUCCACACAAGUGGGUGGAACAGAUGGAAGUAGGAUGGCCUUCAUCUUGCCUUGUCCAGCAGAUACAUCAAGACAGCAACAAAAUUCGACACUUGCGACAAAGGAAAGUGGGAGAAGAGAAGAAAAAACUCCUGGAGACGAUCAAGCUCUACAAUGAGUAGGUACCACACGAGGAGCGGAUUGAUGUGGAGAAGGUGGAGAGCAGACUCUCUGUGGUUCCAGCAAUAUCCAGCAAGAUUUUUGAUGCAUACAUGUCAAAAGUGCGACUUGAAGAGGAAAAGGUCAAAAAAA